AGUGAACGCUGGCGGCAGGCCUAAUACAUGCAAGUCGAACGGCAGCACAGCAGAGCUUGCUCUGUGGGUGGCGAGUGGCGGACGGGUGAGGAAUACAUGGGAAUCUGCCCAGUCGUGGGGGAUAACGUAGGGAAACUUACGCUAAUACCGCAUGCGCCCUUCGGGGGAAAGCCGGGGACCUUCGGGCCUGGCGCGAUUGGAUGAGCCCAUGUCGGAUUAGCUAGUUGGCGGGGUAAAGGCCCACCAAGGCGACGAUCCGUAGCUGGUCUGAGAGGAUGAUCAGCCACACUGGAACUGAGACACGGUCCAGACUCCUACGGGAGGCAGCAGUAGGGAAUAUUGGACAAUGGGCGCAAGCCUGAUCCAGCCAUGCCGCGUGAGUGAAGAAGGCCCUCGGGUUGUAAAGCUCUUUCGGCCGGGAAGAAAUCGCAUGGGUUAAUACCCUGUGUGGAUGACGGUACCGGAAUAAGAAGCACCGGCUAACUACGUGCCAGCAGCCGCGG
rnacentral:rRNA from 1 species